UCUUCUUCACUACCGUAUAUUCUCACACACACGCUCUUCUCAAGCCGAUGAAGAUGAAGAUGGGUCUGACCUUCAAAUGGUGAAUAUCCCAAUUACCCUCUCAAUUUUACUUCUUCGACGAUUAAAGAAAUCAAGUUUUUUUGUGUGUGUAUGCAGCAGACAAUGUCGAAGAUCACGCUGGCGAGAAUAAAAUUGCUGAGAAACAAGAGGGAGGUGGUUGUGAGGCAAAUGAGGAGAGACAGACAUUGGUAUGCUUCUUGAAUUCCGUCCGGAUGCCACUGCUCGUAAUCAGGUACUUUUUCCUCUGACUUAGGGUUGGGGGCUUAGUUGAUUGAUUGAUUAAUUGAACCUCGAAAUCAACUCGUAGGAAUGGGGAAUUUGGUUUAUCAGUUUAUGGAUCAUUUAGAUUGAAACAUAGAAUUUUGCUUUGGUUCAAGAUUAUAGCUUGCAAUUGUUCACUGUCACAGCAAGGGUGUUUACCACCGAGAUCGCUAAUUGGAAAAUCUGUUGUGAAGAUCUAUCUUAAUCUUUUAACUAUUGUUCCUUGUUCCCCAGCCUGAAAAUUUGUGUAUUUAACUUCUGACUUAGGGAGUGCAGUUUUUGUAGGGUAUCAAGUUAGAUGAUUUGGACAUCAGAAGACUAGCUGCAAGUAUGUAUCAUUUAGAGAGUGUUAGAGGUUAAUAAUAGUAACAGUUGAGAGAGAUUAAAAAAUAAUUUAGGAGAAGUGAUUAGACGUAAGCUUAGAUAAGAAGAUAUGAAGGCCAAGAAGUAUAUUAGAAAGUUAGUAGAUAUUCAAGCAUUGUCACAUAUAAAAGGCAAUUUUAUUCUUCAAUGUGUUUGUUACAUCAUCUGCUUUGUAUGAUGAUUUUUAUGUCAUAAUAAUUUCUUGCAACCCUGCUUUGAAGACCUGUCUAAAACAAUCCAUGUGUAGAGUAAGGUUUGUGUUUCCCAGAUCCUAUUUGUGAGAUUACAUAUGUUGUUGUUGUAACAUAAUCAAGGCAGAUGAUACAUCAGUGAAGAAACACUGGGACAAGUGACUACAUAAGGGAUGAUGUGCACAGUCAAACCUUAAUUUCUAGCAUAGCUAAGCAGAGAAUUGUGUGUAUUACAAUGCAAUAUUAGACACCAACAACUACCAAUAGUUAUUCUCAUGAUCAAUGCAAAACAUGAGAUUGUUCUUUUUCAUUUUCCCUUUGUUUUGUGAUUCUUCAACCUAAAUCAACCUAGACAUACAUCUGUAGGACAUAUUUAGAUACUAUGGUUUGGCUAGCUUUUCAGGUACCUUGCAUUUUGAUUCGAUCUUUUUCUUUUACAGAGAAUGCUGUCAGUCAAUAUUGGAAAGGAUUGGGCUGACUUGUGUCAACACAUCUAGUUCUGUCUAUCCAUCCAUUUAUGGCAUGUUCGACGAAUCUCUGAUAUUUGUUAAAUAAGGAAUUAUCCAACAAAACCAGAAAUACAGUCUAUAACAGCAAUUUUGAGCUAAUUACAACUUAUCCCUAAUGGUUUUCCCUAAUGACAAGGUUGAGAUACUUAAUCCCAAUUCAUGGGAAUUGUAGAGUCUUGUGUAGGUAUUUUAGUUUUUUUUGGAUGUGGUGAGGCUGCAUUUUUCCACGUUUGUGGCUUUAGAAACUGUAAAAGAGAAUGGAUACUAAGUUUUUUACGUGGCUUGGGCUUUCCUUUGCUGUUGUUAUGGCAAUUUUUUUUCCCUCAGAAUUUGGAGCUUGAUUUUUGGGAUCGUUUUUGGUUCUUUGUUUGUUGUUUUUGUCUUGUUCCUGCUGCUCUAAUGGUCCUACAGAAUCAAUGGAGUUGCUUUUUGUUCUUUUGGUCAUUUAUGAGCAAAUUAAAUGUACUGAUGUUGAAUGUUUGUUUUUUUCUUUUUUGGGUAAACUAUAGUUUGCCAUCCUGCAUUUUCAUUUAGUUCAGGAGUGAUCUUAUCAGGGGAUGGCUCUGUUUGGUUAGGAUUUUUGAUGUAGAAGGUAUAUUGUUUGGCUUAUUUGGGGCAUGAAUGUACUAAGUGACCAAGUCUUCCACAUACAGUGCAUAGAGGUGUGGAAGGUUCAUAUUGGACUUUUUGUAAAUGGAUACCUAUAAGAAUAUCUCUUGGAAGAGUUUUGGACAGUGGUGCUAGGAUACAGAGUCUUGCGUAUCGUCCUCUAGUGGUAUUCAUAGUCACUGAAUCUAUUUUUACUAUUGUUCCUAUUUGGUUGCCUAUUCGUUGGAGGAUGUUAAGGUCAUAAAUUUCUGUUGGGAGUUCCAGUAGUCUUAUCCAAACCGUCGAGAAAUUUAUUUGAGCCAUCGAGGGAUUGAAUUUUGGUUCCCAUUUCCUAAUGGAGAUAAAUUGCGAGCCGAGGAACAAUGGUCCUUGAUGAAGUAUCUUCUGUUCCUCUCUUCUCUCUCCUCUCUCUUUCUCCAAGCCAACGGUAACUUGCUGGCUUUAUAGUAAUCUCCGGCGACCGCUUUCCGAUCUCCUCUCAGUUCCCGGUAAGUCAAGAUCUGCUCUCUCUCUUUCUCUCUCUCCUCUAGUCUACUAGCAGCUCAGGCGAAGCUGCGAACGGCGCCGGCCAGCGAACAGCAGCGAAAACCAGUCGGCAACCGGACGUCGCCUCUGAUCUGCUAUUCCCGCCAGCAAGCGAAGGCGCCGGCCAGAAGCAGUGCGAGGACCAGCCCCGACCGGCGACCCUCUUUCUCUCUUCUCCUACGCUUCAGUGAGGACGACAACAUCAAAGAGCAGCUCCAACUGCCCUGACCAGCGAACUGCGAGCAGCAAACUCCGGCGAAGGCAAGAGCGUUUCAGAUUCUCCGGCGAACUCCUCUAUCUUCUCCGACGACCAACCCAGAAGAGAGACGGCAGUGCUACUGUUGUCGCCGGAGACCAACCAGAUCUGGCCGGAAAACUGCCAGACCUUGUCGGAAAAUUGCCCAAAGACCACCGAAGCCCUCCAUAUUCACCGAUUCAGGUUUUAUCUAUCUUUUCUCUUUUUUGCUGAAUCUGUUUUUUGAGCCCUUUCGUGCAGUUUUUAUAUUCCGGAUCAGUACUUCCUUGUUAUCUAUUAUAGCUCGGAUUUGUGCUUCAGACUAUAGUAUAGUUAUUGCUAUCGUGGCCUCUAGAGUAUACACUAUACGUGAUCCUAUAGUAUAGUUGUUGCUAUCCUGUCUUUUAGAUUAUACACCUGUUGCAGCUUUUUUUUAAGUGUAUUUCUGUGUAGAUUUUUCAUUAGUUUCAGUAUUUUCUAGUGGAUUUGGUAUCCGAUGGUGGUAUUGAGUCAUGUCUUCGGUUGAGGCCAAGGGCGGGGGAAAAUAGGGGUAAGUGGGUUACGGAUUCACAUAAUUUGAGGGUAGGAUCAUGGAACAUAGGUUCGUUGACGGGGAAGUCCAUAGAGCUAGUGAAAAUUCUCAAGAAGAGAAAGAUAAAUAUAGCUUGUGUCCAAGAGACUAGAUGGGUAGGCUCCAAGGCUCGGGAGGUCGACGGGUUUAAGUUGUGGUACUCAGGAGGCUCAAGGGAUAGAAAUGGAGUGGGUAUUUUAGUAGAUGGGAAUUUGAGGGAGCAAGUGGUGGAGGUUAGGAGGAUCAAUGAUAGGUUGAUGACGAUUAAGCUAGUCAUUGGAGGAUGUACUUUGAGUGUUAUUAGUGCUUAUGCACCUCAAGUGGGCUUGGACGAGGAGGCCAAAAAGCUCUUUUAUGAGGAUUUGGAUGAGGUAGUUAGAGGUAUACCGAACACUGAGAAAAUUGUCAUUGGUGGAGAUUUUAAUGGCCAUAUUGGGGCAACUUCUAGUGGCUUUGAUGAUGUUCAUGGAGGCUUUGGUUUUGGGGAGAGAAAUGGAGGUGGAACUUCGCUUCUAGAUUUUGCUAAAGCUUUUGAGUUGGUGAUUGCUAACUCAUGCUUUCCGAAGAAGGAGAACCACUUGGUUACCUAUCGUAGCACGGUAGCUAAGACUCAGAUAGAUUACUUACUCCUUAGGAAGGGUGAUAGAGGUCUCUUUAAGGACUGCAAGGUCAUCCCGAGUGAAAAUCUUACUACCCAGCACAAGCUUUUAGUGAUGGACCUGGAAAUUAAGAGGGUUAGGAGGAAGAAGAUUGUAUCUGAUCGACCGAGGAUUAAAUGGGGUGGCUUGACACCUGCCCUUUCUCGGGAGAUAGGUGAGAAGUUGAUUGGGAUGGGGGCUUGGAGUGGUAGCGGGGAUGCGGACACCAUGUGGAAGAAAGCAGCUAGUUGCAUUAGGGAAGUUGCUUCUGAGGUGUUGGGGGUAUCAAGGGGUAAAUUUGGGGGCCAUAAAGGAGAUUGGUGGUGGAAUGGGGAAGUCCAAGGCAAAGUGGAAGCGAAGAAGGCUGCAUACACAAAGUUGGUGGAGUGCGUAGAUGAGGAAGAGAAGCGGAUGCUUAAGAAAGUUUAUAAGACGACAAAGACAGAAGCUAAGUUAGCAGUUUCGAAGGCUAAGACGGCAGCUUUCGAACGCUUGUAUGUUGAGCUGGGGGACAAAGGUGGAGAUAAGAAAUUGUAUAGGCUCGCAAAAGCAAGAGAGAGGAAGGCUCGCGACUUGGAUCAAGUGAAGUGUAUCAAAGAUGAGGAAGGCAAGGUAUUGGUGGAAGAGACCUCCAUCAAGCAAAGAUGGCGAAGAUACUUUCACAAACUUUUAAAUGAAGACGGGGAAGGAGACAUUGUGUUGGGUGAUUUGGCGCACUCUGAAAGACUUCGAGAUUUUGGGUACUGUAGGUGCUUUAGGAUCGAGGAGGUUAUACGGGCUAUUAGUAGGAUGAGCAGGGGAAAAGCGACCGGUCCCGAUGAGAUCCCGGUGGAGUUUUGGAAGAGCACGGACAAGGCAAGCAUAGAGUGGUUAACCGGGUUGUUUAAUGUUAUUCUUAAGACAGCAAAGAUGCCUGAUGAAUGGAGAUGGAGUACAAUGGUUCCGUUGUAUAAAAACAAGGGUGAUAUCCAAAACUGUAACAACUAUAGGGGCAUCAAAUUGCUAAGCCAUACUAUGAAGAUUUGGGAGAGAGUGGUGGAGAUGAGGGUGAGAAGAGGGGUGUCCAUCUCUGAGAAUCAGUUUGGAUUCAUGCCGGGACGAUCGACUACCGAAGCCAUCCAUCUGAUGCGAAGACUGGUAGAAAAAUAUAGAGAAAGGAAGAGAGACCUUCAUAUGGUGUUUAUUGACCUUGAAAAGGCAUAUGACAAGGUGCCAAGGAAUGUCCUCUGGAGGUGCUUGGAGGCUAAAGGUGUCCCGAUGAUUUAUAUUAGGGCGAUAAAGGACAUGUACGGUGGAGCCAAGACUCGGGUUAGAACGGUUGGAGGAGACUCGGAACAUUUCCCAGUUGAGAUGGGGUUGCACCAGGGAUCAGUCCUUAGCCCUUUUCUAUUUGCUUUGGUGAUGGAUGAGUUGACGCGGUCCAUUCAGGAGAAUGUCCCAUGGUGUAUGUUAUUUGCGGAUGACAUAGUACUGAUUGAUGAGACGCGGGACAGAGUUAAUGCGAGGUUGGAGGUGUGGAGACAAACGCUGGAGUCCAAAGGGUUCAGGUUGAGUAGGACCAAAACAGAAUAUUUGGGGUGCAAAUUCAGUGAUGCAUUGGAUGAGGCAGAUGUGGAUGUGAGACUUGCCACACAGAUCAUUCCUAAGAAAGAAAGUUUUAAGUAUCUUGGGUCUGUAAUNNNNNNNNNNNNNNNNNNNNNNNNNNNNNNNNNNNNNNNNNNNNNNNNNNNNNNNNNNNNNNNNNNNNNNNNNNNNNNNNNNNNNNNNNNNNNNNNNNNNNNNNNNNNNNNNNNNNNNNNNNNNNNNNGUGGUGGACAAGCUGAGGGAAGCGAGACUGAGAUGGUUUGGACAUGUGAAGAGACGGGGCGCGGACGCCCCAGUGAGGAGGUGCGAGGGGCUGGUAGUAGAGGGUACGCGGAGGGGUAGAGGUAGGCCCAAGAAGUAUUGGGGAGAGGUGAUUAGACAGGACUUGGCCCAGCUACACAUUACCGAGGACAUGACUCUAGAUAGGAAGGAGUGGAGGUCACGUAUUAAGGUUGAAGGCUAGUAGGGUUAGCGUGUUGUCUUUCCUGGCGAGGGUAUGGGUUGUUAGCGUUUGUAGGAGUCUUAGCCGUACACUUGUAGUUCUUGUAUGUGAUCCCUAUUGCCUUAUGUUGUUUACUGCGUUUCACUUCUCGCAUUAUUUUCUUGAUGUAUUGCCCCCUUUGUUGAUUAUGCACUAUUUUUCUUAUUGGAUGUUAUGCUUUAUAUAAUUCUCUUCCUUUACUUGGCUUUGUUACACUUGAGCUGAGGGUCUUCCGGAAACAGCCUCUCUACCUCCACGAGGUAGUGGUAAGGUCUGCGUACACUUUACCCUCCCCAGACCCCACCUAGUGGGAUUUCACUGGGUAUGUUGUUGUUGUUGUUGUUAGCUUUAUGAGAUAGAAGUCUGACACUAAGGUCAAUGAGGUUUAUUUUUUCGGAGAGUUGCCAAACAGCUUGGAGGCGGUUUUGGAAGUAGAUAUAGCCGAUUUUUUUCCCAAUCAGUUUAACAAUUAGAGAGUAUUACCAGGGGGAGUAUACAUGUUUGUCGUUUGAUGAUAUAGGAAUGAAGUUUGGAUGGUUUUGGGGGUUUUCUUGCUCGUCUUGGAAGUUGAUAUUGUCUAGGCCUUGUGUAACAUAGUUUAUAUCGUUUUCAUUUAUGGAUACCUUAAGAGUUUCCAGAAAACUUACUUUACGAAUAGUUGCCGGCGUGCUUUCUUCUUCCUUCUGUUUCUUCGUGCUCCAACGUAUCUCGAGGAACUUUUGGCAUCACUACCUCAUGGCAAGCUUACUGAGUAUCCACCACAUCCCAAAAUCCAUUUCUUGAUCACUCAUUUCCUGUUUAAGUUUUUUAUAUUACAACUAUUGUUCCUCGACGAUUUAUUGAAUAAUUUAUAUGUAACCUCAAAAUCAGCUCGUAGGAAUGGAGAAUUUGGUAUAUCAUGCCUGGUGGUUACUUUCAACAACUCAUUGAUGCAAUUGCUCACUGUCACAACAAUACCAUCGAGAUCUGAAGGUUUGCAAUUGCUGAUUGGAAUAUCUGUUGUGAAGACUAUCUAUCUUACUUAAUCUUUAACUAUUGUUCCUUGUUCCCCAGCCUGAAAAUUUGCUUCUUGAUUUCUAAGGGAACUUAAAAGUUUCUGACUUUGGGCAUUUAUUCAAAUCUCUAACAGGGAGUCAGGGUCAUACCACUUGUGGGACUCCAAAUUAUGUUGCACAUGAGAGAUGUGAUGCAUAUGUAGUUUGAAUUAUUCAGUUACUUCUUAAUAGUUCUUAUGAGUGCAUUCUUCUUGUUUUGCACAUGCAACCUGUCAUUCUUCAUUUGAUUGGCCUGCUAUCCCCCCAAAACCUUUUUAUUAUUUAUACUUUAGAUUGCGAGCUAAGAGGCAAAUAUAUACUUUUACGUUUGUAGUCCUGGUUUAGUAAUUGGUUGUUAUAUUAUUUUCCCAUUCUGAUGUCCACAUUAAUAG
rnacentral:lncRNA from 1 species